UCUGAUUUUCUGGCACUUCAUCUGGAUUCCCAGAAUCUGAGGGAUCAUUUGAAACUGGUCUCUUAUCUUCCGGGUUUCAAAUGAUGCCUCAGAAUCUG